rnacentral:pre_miRNA from 1 species
AACAUUUAAUUAUCCAUUUUAUUUGAAGUUUUUUUAUGAUUAGUAUUUUUGUUGUUAUUAGAUGAUAAAAUAUAAAUAGCACUUUAUGUGUGACUACUUUUUUUUUAUUUUUUUUCAUAACCUUUCAAAUAAGACGGACGGUUAAACGUU